rnacentral:rRNA from 1 species
AUUGAACGCUGGCGGUAUGCUUAACACAUGCAAGUCGAACGGUAACAGGCCUUCGGGCGCUGACGAGUGGCGGACGGUGAGUAACGCGUAGGAAUCUGCCUCAUAGUGGGGACAACGUGGGGAAACUCACGCUAAUACCGCAUACGCCCUACGGGGAAAGCGGGGAGUCUUCGGACCUCGCGCUAUGAGAUGAGCCUGCGUUAGAUUAGCUAGUUGGUAGGGUAAAGGCCUACCAAGGCGACGAUCUAUAGCUGGUCUGAGAGGACGAUCAGCCACACUGGGACUGAGACACGGCCCAGACUCCUACGGGAGGCAGCAGUGGGGAAUAUUGGACAAUGGGCGCAAGCCUGAUCCAGCAAUACCGCGUGUGUGAAGAAGGCCUUAGGGUUGUAAAGCACUUUCAAUUGGGAGGAAAACCUGCCGGUCAAUACCCGGCAGCUUGACAUUACCUUUAGAAGAAGCACCGGCUAACUCCGUGCCAGCAGCCGCGGUAAU